GCGGAUGUGGCGGAACUGGUAGACGCGCUGGAUUUAGGUUCCAGUGCCGCAGGGCGUGGAGGUUCGAGUCCUCUCAUCCGCACCA
rnacentral:tRNA from 2 species